AGUCGAACGCUUUGUGGUUCAACUGAUAUGAAGAGCUUGCUCGGAUUUGAAGAUGAACAUUGCAAAGAGUGGCGAACGGGUGAGUAACACGUGGGAAACCUACCUCUUAGCGGGGGAUAACACUUGGAAACAAGUGCUAAUACCGCAUAAUACUGAUAACCGCAUGGUUAUCAGUUGAAAGAUGGUUCUGCUAUCACUAAGAGAUGGUCCCGCGGUGUAUUAGCUAGUUGGUAAGGUAAUGGCUUACCAAGGCAAUGAUACAUAGCCGAGUUGAGAGACUGAUCGGCCACAAUGGGACUGAGACACGGCCCAUACUCCUACGGGAGGCAGCAGUAGGGAAUCUUCCACAAUGGACGAAAGUCUGAUGGAGCAACGCCGCGUGUGUGAUGAAGGGUUUCGGCUCGUAAAACACUGUUGUAAGAGAAGAAUGACAUUGAGAGUAACUGUUCAGUGUGUGACGGUAUCUUACCAGAAAGGAACGGCUAAAUACGUGCCAGCAGCCGCGGUAAUACGUAUGUUCCAAGCGUUAUCCGGAUUUAUUGGGCGUAAAGCGAGCGCAGACGGUUGUUUAAGUCUGAAGUGAAAGCCCACAGCUUAACUGUGGAAGUGCUUUGGAAACUGGAUAACUUGAGUGCAGUAGAGGAGAGUGGAACUCCAUGUGUAGCGGUGAAAUGCGUAGAUAUAUGGAAGAACACCAGUGGCGAAGGCGGCUCUCUGGACUGUAACUGACGUUGAGGCUCGAAAGUGUGGGUAGCAAACAGGAUUAGAUACCCUGGUAGUCCACACCGUAAACGAUGAGUGCUAGAUGUUUGAGGGUUUCCGCCCUUAAGUGUCGCAGCUAACGCAUUAAGCACUCCGCCUGGGGAGUACGACCGCAAGGUUGAACUCAAAGGAAUUGACGGGGACCCGCACAGCGGUGGAGCAUGUGGUUUAUUCG
rnacentral:rRNA from 1 species